AGCGAACGCUGGCGGCAGGCUUAACACAUGCAAGUCGAGCGGGCCCUUCGGGGUCAGCGGCGGACGGGUGAGUAACGCGUGGGAACGUGCCUUCUGGUUCGGAAUAACCCUGGGAAACUAGGGCUAAUACCGGAUACGCCCUUAUGGGGAAAGGUUUACUGCCGGAAGAUCGGCCCGCGUCUGAUUAGCUAGUUGGUGGGGUAACGGCCUACCAAGGCGACGAUCAGUAGCUGGUCUGAGAGGAUGAUCAGCCACACUGGGACUGAGACACGGCCCAGACUCCUACGGGAGGCAGCAGUGGGGAAUAUUGGACAAUGGGCGCAACUGAUCCAGCCAUGCCGCGUGAGUGAUGAAGGCCUUAGGGUUGUAAAGCUCUUUUAUCCGGGACGAUAAUGACGGUACCGGAGGAAUAAGCCCCGGCUAACUUCGUGC
rnacentral:rRNA from 1 species